rnacentral:lncRNA from 1 species
AAAAGUCAACCUCUUUAUUCAUGUCAUAGCUUUAUCAUAUUUUUACAUGACUACCAAUAGCAACAAGCUGGGUUCAGUUAAGAAAAACCAAAGUGGUUUUUGUUUUACUUGUACAGGUUGAGCAACCCAUAUCUGAAAAUACAAAAUGCUCCAAAAUCUGAAACUUUUUAAACACUGACAUGAUGCUAAAAGGAAAUGCUCAUUGGAACACUUUGGAUUUUUGGAUUUGGGAUGCUCAACCGGUAUAAUGCAAAUAUUCCAAAAUCCAAAAUCCAAAAUCCACAACACUUCCGGUCCCAAGCAUUUCAAAUAAGGGAUACUCAAACUUGUAUUGCAAUCUACACAAAAUGGCUUAAUACCCUUGAAUACCUGUUGCUUAGAAAAGCAAGAUUCAGACUCCUUAUCUGGGCUUCAAAGCUCUCCCUAGCUCUCUCCUCAACUCCCAGUCACUCAGGAUACUCCAGUCACACUGUCCUCCUUUCAGUUCCUCCCAUACACCAAGUGUUUCCCCAGUUUAGGACUUCUGUAUACUGUACCAUUCACUUUCCCAUUAACACUCUAUUCUCUACUCCCUUUUCAAAUAGAUCUAUUAUUUUCAUAACAACAUUUUGAAAAGUUAACACAGAAAAGAGCAAAAGAAAAUGAUAUCCCUUAUCAUUUUCCAGGCUGCUCCUUACAGGUCACUUCCCCUGAGAAGCCUUUAAUCUAAGUAAGACUCCCUUGUUACAAUCUUACACCAAACUUUUUAUUAUACCUUAAUAGCACCACUGAAAGUAAUAAAUGAUAUACUUGUGUGAUUAUGUGCUUAAAGCUAGUUGGAUUCACAAGCUCUGUAUCCAGGAGGAUUGAGACCAUGUCUCUUAUUUACCUCUGAUCUUCAGCACAGUACAGAUCAUAACAGGUACUCAAAACUCUUUGCUGACAUCACCU